ACAGAGAGCAACUGUGACAGGCAGCUCUGACAUCACGGGCUCCCAGCUGACCAUUAGCCUGCGGAAUCCUGACAGAGCGACUUAACCACGCGCAAGUACUGAACAGCUAUAAGACAGUCGUCAGGUCACUGAUCAAAGCUAUACUAUUAAGAGUUAAAUGUAUCUUUCUUUUUUUAAACAUUGUUUGUUAUUUACAAAAUCACACAGGCAGUUCAUUCUACCAGCUGAAACAGAUCGGCACACUGAAAUAACAGACUGUCCAGACUGCCAUCACACAGACUGUCCCACGGACCAGGACCAGGAAUGACAAGCGGCUCAAACACCCAACAGCCUGUUGGCUUUCAGACUACCAGAGCACUGCAUGCUAACAGCUGGCAGCAGAUGGACCUACAGGCAGAUGAUGGUGUACGGUUGGAGACAUGGAGGUGAAGGGGCAGCCGCAGUGACCUAGUCAGCUGCAGCUGGAACAAGAAGUGAAAAAGAGGCGUGAGUGGCACUGCAGAAACCGCAUGACAUAUCUCAGGUCACCAAGCUGACACGGCGAAAGGUCACAGCGGCUUCCUGGCAGACACCUGAAAAAACUUUGUGUGUCCCUGGUAUCCUGUACAGCCAGACGAUGGCAGUGAUGGUCUCACCGUUUCAGCUUUUCUCCAAAAGGACGAGGCCGUUUUUGUUAAUUAUAU